AUUGAACGCUGGCGGCAUGCUUUACACAUGCAAGUCGAACGGUAACAGGUUAAGCUGACGAGUGGCGAACGGGUGAGUAAUGCAUCGGAACGUGCCCGAUCGUGGGGGAUAACGCAGCGAAAGCUGCGCUAAUACCGCAUACGAUCUGAGGAUGAAAGCGGGGGACCGAAAGGCCUCGCGCGAUUGGAGCGGCCGAUGUCAGAUUAGGUAGUUGGUGGGGUAAAGGCCCACCAAGCCAACGAUCUGUAGCUGGUCUGAGAGGACGACCAGCCACACUGGGACUGAGACACGGCCCAGACUCCUACGGGAGGCAGCAGUGGGGAAUUUUGGACAAUGGGGGUAACCCUGAUCCAGCAAUGCCGCGUGCAGGAAGAAGGCCUUCGGGUUGUAAACUGCUUUUGUACGGAACGAAAAGCUCUGGGCUAAUACCUUGGGGUCAUGACGGUACCGUAAGAAUAAGCACCGGCUAACUACGUGCCAGCCGCCGCCGUAA
rnacentral:rRNA from 1 species